rnacentral:rRNA from 1 species
UAGGCGGACGGGUGAGUAAUGUCUGGGAAACUGCCUGGUGGAGGGGGAUAACUACUGGAAACGGUAGCUAAUACCGCAUAACGUCGCAAGACCAAAGAGGGGGACCUUCGGGCCUCUUGCCAUCGGAUGUGCCCAGAUGGGAUUAGCUAGUAGGUGGGGUAACGGCUCACCUAGGCGACGAUCCCUAGCUGGUCCGAGAGGAUGACCAGCCACACUGGAACUGAGACACGGUCCAG